rnacentral:tRNA from 1 species
GGGCCGGUAGCUGAGAUGGUCUAGCGCCACCCUGAAAAGGUGGAGACGUGGAUUCGAGCGCCACACGGCCCAC